rnacentral:rRNA from 1 species
AACGAACGCUGGCGGCAGGCUUAACACAUGCAAGUCGAGCGCCCUCUUCGGAGGGAGCGGCGGACGGGUUAGUAACGCGUGGGAACGUGCCUUUCGCUACGGAAUAGCCCAGGGAAACUUGGAUUAAUACCGUAUACGCCCUUUUGGGGAAAGAUUUAUCGGCGAGAGAUCGGCCCGCGUUGGAUUAGGUAGUUGGUGGGGUAAUGGCCUACCAAGCCGACGAUCCAUAGCUGGUUUGAGAGGAUGAUCAGCAACACUGGGACUGAGACACGGCCCAGACUCCUACGGGAGGCAGCAGUGGGGAAUCUUGGACAAUGGGGGCAACCCUGAUCCAGCCAUGCCGCGUGGACGAUGAAGGCCUUAGGGUUGUAAAGUCCUUUCGCUAGGGAAGAUAAUGACGGUACCUAGUAAAGAAGUCCCGGCUAACUCCGUGCCAGCAGCCGCGGUAAU